rnacentral:rRNA from 1 species
AUUGAACGCUGGCGGCAUGCCUUACACAUGCAAGUCGAACGGCAGCACGGGAGCAAUCCUGGUGGCGAGUGGCGAACGGGUGAGUAAUAUAUCGGAACGUGCCCAGUCGUGGGGGAUAACGUAGCGAAAGCUACGCUAAUACCGCAUACGAUCUAUGGAUGAAAGCGGGGGAUCGCAAGACCUCGCGCGAUUGGAGCGGCCGAUAUCAGAUUAGGUAGUUGGUGAGGUAAAGGCUCGCCAAGCCGACGAUCUGUAGCUGGUCUGAGAGGACGACCAGCCACACUGGGACUGAGACACGGCCCAGACUCCUACGGGAGGCAGCAGUGGGGAAUUUUUGGACAAUGGGCGCAAGCCUGAUCCAGCAAUGCCGCGUGCAGGAUGAAGGCCCUUGGU